rnacentral:piRNA from 1 species
UGCAAGUGAGCAUACAAUUUGAAUUUAAAGU